rnacentral:rRNA from 1 species
ACUUUUGACCUCGGAUCAGGUAGGGAUACCCGCUGAACUUAAGCAU